UUCCUAAUUUUUAAACAUUUUUGCAAUGAUCAAAAAGAGAAAAUGUUUUAAAUGUUGUUUAAAAGUUCUUCUAAUUCAGAAAAAAACAGUUUAGCACAGUUCAAAGCAGUUUACCAGUGGAUCCAUGUGUUCAGCUUGUUAUUGGUUGUGACUAGAUGACAGAGAUAGGAUUUCUGAAGGAUACAGCCAACAAUAGCUGAAAACAGUGGAAAGCUGGUAGACGUCUUUUCUGUAAAUAAAGCACUAUUUGUGAGUUACUUUUAUGUCAAUCACAUAAAGGUAAGCACAUUACAUGGUCUUUAAAGUCCAUAUUUUAAUU
rnacentral:lncRNA from 1 species